rnacentral:rRNA from 1 species
UACGUAGGGUGCAAGCGUUGUCCGGAAUUAUUGGGCGUAAAGGGUGCGUAGGCGGUUCGUUAAGUCUGUUGUGAAAUCCCCGGGCUCAACCUGGGAAUGGCAAUGGAUACUGGCGGGCUAGAGUGUGUCAGAGGAUGGUGGAAUUCCCGGUGUAGCGGUGAAAUGCGUAGAGAUCGGGAGGAACAUCAGUGGCGAAGGCGGCCAUCUGGGACAACACUGACGCUGAAGCACGAAAGCGUGGGGAGCAAACAGG